CCCCGGGCGGCGGCCCGAGCUGCUGCUGCGGCUCCCUGCCGGGCAGCCGCCCCUCUGCCUCUGUGGACGGGGUGAAAAGGGGGUGAUGAGUCAGACUGCUGCAGAAAGGAGGUGGAAAGAAGGAGGCAGGCGGCCUUGUUGCUCCCCCCUGCAAAGUGGUGGGACUGGGUUGAUGUGUCUGCUCUGCCGAACUUGCGAAGACAUUUUAAAUCUAAAAAUUGAAAAGCAUCGCCAUCCUGAAAGAACUCUGGUUGCAGAACUGCUUAUUCCUUCGUUACCAGAACUCAGCAUAGAUUUUCUCACUUACAGAUAGUCUUUUUGAAAAGACCCUGAAGAAACUUAACACACCAGCCUCUGGGGAACACCAUUUCCAAGAAAGUACCACACUACUUAAACCUUUUCUUGAUGGGCUUGGCGUUUGCUUGAUGUGUGAUAUCCUGGAAGCUUUUCCAAACCCUCGACGCGGAGGCAGUAGUGUGCACUUGCCUACAAGCAAAAUUACCCUGAAGAAGGUGAUGAGAUUGAUUUCCUUUCUGCAUCCAGAGAAGUGAGCUAUAAAGGAAGCUUCCAAGGUGAACAGAGGAGCGCCUCCCCGCGUGGCCUUCCGCGUUCUCUGCAGCCUGCCGGCGAGGACAGCGGCCUGGUACAAGAAUAUUAAGAGAGUCCCAAAGCUGGAGGUGAACUUCAUACCCGGCAGAGGGAAGGGGACCCCCAUAUCUGCAAAAACAAGAACAACUUUGCCACAAUUUUUUACCCUGUGUGCUAUCUCUAUGGAGACUAGCUCCACCCCUUUAACUCUUGAACAUUUACUAUAAAACUCCCUGCUUUCUCUCCCCAGAAGGCUCACAGUCUUAGAGGCAUUAGCCCACUCUGACCUCCUUUGCCUGGCAAAAAAGUAAAGCUACCUUUUCUACUUCAUUCA